rnacentral:rRNA from 1 species
AUUGAACGCUGGCGGCAUGCCUUACACAUGCAAGUCGAACGGCAGCGGGGGAGAAGCUUGCUUUUCCUGCCGGCGAGUGGCGAACGGGUGAGUAAUACAUCGGAACAUGCCCUGUAGUGGGGGAUAACUAGUCGAAAGAUUAGCUAAUACCGCAUACGACCUGAGGGUGAAAGUGGGGGACCGCAAGGCCUCAUGCUAUAGGAGCGGCCGAUGUCGGAUUAGCUAGUUGGUGGGGUAAAGGCCUACCAAGGCGACGAUCAGUAGCUGGUCUGAGAGGACGAUCAGCCACACUGGGACUGAGACACGGCCCAGACUCCUACGGGAGGCAGCAGUGGGGAAUUUUGGACAAUGGGCGAAAGCCUGAUCCAGCAAUGCCGCGUGUGUGAAGAAGGCCUUCGGGUUGUAAAGCACUUUUGUCCGGAAAGAAAUGGCUCUGGUUAAUACCUGGGGUCGAUGACGGUACCGGAAGAAUAAGGACCGGCUAACUACGUGCCAGCAGCCGCCGCCG